rnacentral:rRNA from 1 species
CCUACGGGUGGCAGCAGUGAGGAAUAUUGGUCAAUGGACGCAAGUCUGAACCAGCCAUGCCGCGUGCAGGAAGACGGCUCUAUGAGUUGUAAACUUCUUUUGUACGAGGGUAAACGCAGAUACGCGUAUCUGUCUGAGAGUAUCGUACGAAUAAGCAUCGGCUAACUCCGUGCCAGCAGCCGCGGUAAUACGGAGGAUUCAAGCGUUAUCCGGAUUUAUUGGGUUUAAAGGGUGCGUAGGCGGUCGGAUAAGUUAGCGGUGAAAUCCCGAGGCUCAACUUCGGCAUUGCCUCUGAUACUGUUCGGCUAGAGAGUAGUAGCGGUAGGCGGAAUGUAUGGUGUAGCGGUGAAAUGCAUAGAGAUCAUACAGAACACCGAUUGCGAAGGCAGCUUACCGAGCUACUACUGACGUUGAGGCACGAAAGCGUGGGGAGCGAACAGGAUUAGAUACCCGGGUAGUC